rnacentral:rRNA from 1 species
CACGUAGGAGGCGAGCGUUGUCCGGAAUCAUUGGGCGUAAAGAGCGCGCAGGCGGCUUGGCAAGUCGGGUGUGAAAUCCCGGGGCUCAACCCCGGGACUGCAUUCGAUACUGUCAGGCUAGAGGUAGGUAGGGGAGAUCGGAAUUCCUGGUGUAGCGGUGAAAUGCGCAGAUAUCGGGAGGAACAUCAGUGGCGAAGGCGGCCAUCUGGGACAACACUGACGCUGAAGCACGAAAGCGUGGGGAGCAAACAGG